UACAGAGGUCUCAAGCGUUGUUCGGAUUCAUUGGGCGUAAAGAGCGCGUAGGCGGUCCGGUAAGUCGGUUGUGAAAGUCGGGGGGCUCAACCCUCGGAUGCCGAUCGAUACUGUCGGGCUAGAGUCCGGAAGAGGCGAGUGGAAUUCCUGGUGUAGCGGUGAAAUGCGCAGAUAUCAGGAGGAACACCAAUGGCGAAGGCAGCUCGCUGGGACGGUACUGACGCUGAGGCGCGAAGGCGUGGGGGAGCAAACAGG
rnacentral:rRNA from 1 species